rnacentral:rRNA from 1 species
CCUACGGGUGGCAGCAGUGGGGAAUAUUGGGCAAUGGGCGCAAGCCUGACCCAGCAACGCCGCGUGAAGGAAGAAGGCUUUCGGGUUGUAAACUUCUUUUCUCAGGGACGAAGCAAGUGACGGUACCUGAGGAAUCAGCCACGGCUCACUACGUGCCAGCAGCCGCGGUAAUACGUAGGUGGCAAGCGUUAUCCGGAUUUACUGGGUGUAAAGGGCGUGGAGGCGGGAAAGCAAGUGAGAUGUGAAAACCAUGGGCUCAACCUGUGGCCUGCAUUUGAAACUGUUGUGCUUGAGUACUGGAGAGGCAGACGGAAUUCCUAGUGUAGCGGUGAAAUGCGUAGAUAUUAGGAGGAACACCGGUGGCGAAGGCGGCCUGCUGGACUGCAACUGACGUUGAGGCCCGAAAGCGUGGGGAGCAAACAGGAUUAGAUACCCGGGUAGUC